rnacentral:rRNA from 1 species
AGUGGAACGCGGGGAACUCGCGCUAAUACCGCAUACGGGGAGAAAGUGGGGUGCAAUGAACGGGACCCUCGGGCCUCACGCUAACAGAUGAGCCUAGGUCGGAUUAGCUAGUUGGUGGGGUAAAGGCCCACCAAGGCGACGAUCCGUAACUGGUCUGAGAGGAUGAUCAGUCACACUGGAACUGAGACACGGUCCAGACUCCUACGGGAGGCAGCAGUGGGGAAUAUUGGACAAUGGGCGAAAGCCUGAUCCAGCCAUGCCGCGUGUAAGAAGGUCUUCGGAUUGUAAAGCACUUUAAGUUGGGAGGAAGGGCGCUCGGUGAAUACCCAAGCGUCCGUUUGACGUUACCGACAGAAUAAGCACCGGCUAACUUCGUGCCAGCAGCCAUGUGAUGACUGAGGGUGCAAGCGUUAAUCGGAAUUACUGGGCGUAAAGCGCGCGUAGGUGGUUCGGCAAGUUGGAUGUGAAAGCCCCGGGCUCAACCUGGGAACCGCAUCCAAAACCGUUACUGGGCUAGAGUACGGUAGAGGGUGGUGGAAUUUCCUUAGCGGUGAAAUGCGUAGAUAUAGGAAGGAACACCAGUGGCGAAGGCGACCACCUGGACCGAUACUGACACUGAGGUGCUGACCUCCGGGGAGCAAACAGGAUUAGAUACCCUGGUAGUCCACGCCGUAAACGAUGUCGACUAGCCGUUGGGCUCCUUGAGAGCUUAGUGGCGCACUAACGCAUUAUGACUCGACUUAGUCGACGUACGGCCGCAAGGUUAAAACUCAAAUGAAUUGACGGGGGCCCGCACAAGCGGUGGAGCAUGUGGUUUAAUUCGAAGCAACGCGAAGACCUUACCUGGCCUUGACAUCCUGCGAACUUUCAAGAGCUGAAUUGAUGGGUGCCUUCGGGAGCGCAGAAGGUGCUGCAUGGCUGUCGUCAGCUCGUGUCGUGAGAUGUUGGGUUAACCGUAACGAGCAAUGCAACCCUUGUCCUUAGUUACCAGCGAUUCGGUCGGGCACUCUAAGGAGACUGCCGGUGACAAACCGGAGGAAGGUGGGGAUGACGUCAAGUCAUCAUGGCCCUUACGGCCAGGGCUACACACGUGCUACAAUGGUCGGUACAAAGGGUUGCCAAGUCGCGAGGCGGAGCUAAUCCCAGAAAACCGAUCGUAGUCCGGAUCGCAGUCUGCAACUCGACUGCGUGAAGUCGGAAUCGCUAGUAAUCGCGAAUCAGAAUGUCGCGGUGAAUACGUUCCCGGGCCUUGUACACACCGCCCGUCACACCAUGGGAGUGGGUUGCUCCACUAGCUUGUGAGAGCUAGUCUAACCCUCGGGACCACGGAGACUGACGUAGAACGGGUGAAG